GGACCCGCACAAGCGGUGGAGCAUGUGGUUUAAUUCGAUGCAACGCGAAAAACCUUACCUACUCUUGACAUACUUGGAAGCUCUUGUAAUGAGAGUGUGCCUUUUGGAACCAAGAUACAGGUGCUGCAUGGCUGUCGUCAGCUCGUGUCGUGAGAUGUUCCGUUAAGUCGGAUAACGAGCGCAACCCUUACCCUUAUUUGCCAGCGAUUCGGUCGGGAACUAUAAGGGGACUGCCGGUGAUAAACCGGAGGAAGGUGAGGACGACGUCAAGUCAUCAUGGCCCUUACGAGUAGGGCUACACACGUGCUACAAUGGGGAAUACAGACGGACGCUAAGCCGCGAGGUGGUGCUAAUCCUAGAAAACGUCUCGUAGUCCGGAUUGGAGUCUGCAACUCGACUCCAUGAAGUCGGAAUC
rnacentral:rRNA from 1 species